GAGUAUUAUAUUGCUGCCAAGUUGCAAUCUGAGUUGUAUGAUUCUAGUGAGCAUUUGGUAUAACGCGGCCACGGGUGUCUCGUUAUACCUUCUAAGUUCUAACGUGAUUGUAACAAAGCAGCCAAAUGAAGUAAAUGUUUGAAACAGCCCAUUUUUAGAUCACAUUGGUGCUAAAAGUCAAAAUCAUCCUACUACUAGGCUCCAAUGAAACAAAUCUAAGCUUUUCAAGUGCAGUGUGACUGCCAAAGUUACCUCUGCCCAUGGAGACGCCAGCAAUGUAGAACAAAUACUUAAAGCUACACCAACACUCAUCUAUAUGUGGACUGCCAUCAGCAGGAUGUUUGCCUGAAACAAGAAGAAUUCCAAUCUCCAGUCUACAUGGUGAUUGGCGUGGAUUACAGUUCCACUAUCGGCAACAACAACAAAAUCUGUUGAAGAAAAGACACUGAGAAGAACGUCAAUGCUGGUGUGGAAUCGUCGAUACAGGCAACCCAGUUUUGCUUACGUGUUUAAGAUUCAACGGGAAAAAAUCGGGAUAUUCGUUCAACAUCUUCUACAGACAUCCCUUACAAUGUGAACAACAAUAUUAUUGAACUGUAAUCUUUGAGUUAUGACCAUCUUGGAAGCGAAUGCUGGUUCAUUGCAAAACACUUCUUUGGCAGUUUGUGAUUUGUGAUGGUGGUUUCUUGGGGGAAAACUAUGUAGAUAUAAAUCACAGACUUGGUCAUAUGCUAUUUGGAUUUUAAAUGGAAAAAAAUCACAAACAGCCCUUCAGCUUAUCUUGCUAAGUGCUUACGCAGUUAAGCUGAAAAUCCAUCCGUUCCGUCCAGCCCAGUCGUCCGUGGAUGCCGUCCGUGGCUGUCACUAGGUUGCUGGUGGCUAAAAUUAAGUCCGUCUCUUCUUUAGAGCAGACGAUAUUUCGCCAUUUCUUUUAGAAGACGAUGUUUGAUUGACAGUUCGAUGUGGUUUAUUACGGGAUACUCUUUUUCCUGAAAUUUGUCGUCAUACUAAUGGUAACAUAACUACCCUACAAUCUAUACUUGGCAAUUCCAUCUGAUCAUGGCCUGAAACUGGUGUUCAUUUACCCAAAAUGUCGUCUUUUCUGCAUGUACCGGCUCUACGUUUCGUCUCAUGCAGAAAUACUUCAGAACAGUAAUUGUUUAUCUUGUAUGUUCGCGUAGUUGCUGUCCGCUGUGGUACGUUGUUGCAGCCUAUGCUGGUGAUAGAUCCUUCUGCAUCAAGUUCAAUUGGCCGUUUCUUGGUGCUGAUGUUGUGUUACUGAAGUUGUAUCAUAUUUUGUUAAAUUUUCAUCGUGACUUGCAGUUUACCGUUUAUAAGUUCAGAAGCAACAAAAACAAAUAUGGGAUGUAAUGUCAACAAAUAAUUAACAUGUUUCUGGGAUUGGGAUAGGAAAGUGGAGGAUGUUGGAGGGGGGUGGGAGGAUAUGGAUAAAAAUUCAGUUAAUCUAUAACCCUACAAACGUUGCCCUACCAAUUAAUCUCCCAACCCCACAAACAUAUACCUUCCAAUCCUUCAAACCACGAAAACAUACACCUACUAACCCUUAAAUUUAUACCCUUAACCCUAUAAACCAAUGUUAAACCUUAACCAUGUAAUAUCUGUAAUAAAUAAAAAUAAAUAUAUUAAAU